rnacentral:rRNA from 1 species
AGCGAACGCUGGCGGCAGGCCUAACACAUGCAAGUCGAACGAACUCUUCGGAGUUAGUGGCGGACGGGUGAGUAACACGUGGGAACGUGCCUUUAGGUUCGGAAUAACUCAGGGAAACUUGUGCUAAUACCGAAUGUGCCCUUCGGGGGAAAGAUUUAUCGCCUUUAGAGCGGCCCGCGUCUGAUUAGCUAGUUGGUGAGGUAAUGGCUCACCAAGGCGACGAUCAGUAGCUGGUCUGAGAGGAUGACCAGCCACAUUGGGACUGAGACACGGCCCAAACUCCUACGGGAGGCAGCAGUGGGGAAUCUUGCGCAAUGGGCGAAAGCCUGACGCAGCCAUGCCGCGUGUAUGAUGAAGGUCUUAGGAUUGUAAAAUACUUUCACCGGUGAAGAUAAUGACUGUAGCCGGAGAAGAAGCCCCGGCUAACUUCGUGCCAGCCGCCGCCGUAACAC